rnacentral:rRNA from 1 species
UACGAUGGGAGCAAGCGUUGUUCGGAUUUACUGGGCGUAAAGGGCGCGUAGGCGGCCACGACAAGUCACUUGUGAAAUCUCCGGGCUUAACUCGGAACGGUCAAGUGAUACUGUCGGGCUAGAGUACAGAAGGGGCAACUGGAAUUCUCGGUGUAGCGGUGAAAUGCGUAGAUAUCGAGAGGAACACCUGCGGCGAAGGCGGGUUGCUGGGCUGAUACUGACGCUGAUGCGCGAAAGCCAGGGGAGCGAACGGG